rnacentral:rRNA from 1 species
UGGGGAAUCUUGGACAAUGGGCGCAAGCCUGAUCCAGCCAUGCCGCGUGAGUGAAGAAGGCCUUCGGGUUGUAAAGCUCUUUCAGCAGGAACGAAACGGUCGGCUUUAAUAAAGUCGGCUAAUGACGGUACCUGCAGAAGAAGCACCGGCUAACUACGUGCCAGCAGCCGCGGUAAUACGUAGGGUGCGAGCGUUAAUCGGAAUUACUGGGCGUAAAGCGUGCGCAGGCGGCGACAUAAGACAGAUGUGAAAUCCCCGGGCUCAACCUGGGAACUGCGUUUGUGACUGUGUUGCUAGAGUGUAGCAGAGGGGGUGGAAUUCCACGUGUAGCAGUGAAAUGCGUAGAGAUGUGGAGGAACACCGAUGGCGAAGGCAGCCCCCUGGGUUAACACUGACGCUCAUGCACGAAAGCGUGGGGAGCAAACAGGAUUAGAUACCCCCGUAGUCCCUGAGCGGGCUGGCAAGGCGCAU